rnacentral:ncRNA from 2 species
UGCAGACCGUGGGGGUGCUCUGUCUCCGCGCGGGACAGGGCUGAGAGCAUACCCUUUGAACCUGAUCCGGGUAAUGCCGGCGCAGGGAAACGGUCACCGAUCGCAC